UAACAAACAGCAUAAAAACAUGUGUGAUAACAAUUGGAUACAUUUAGCAAGUCUUGAAGAAAAUGUGCAAGCAACAAUUAGACUUGUUGUUAAUACUGAUGGAAUUCCUGUUUUUAAAUUAUCAAAGUGGACCUUGUGGCCUUUGCUAGCAUCCAUUCAUAAUUUUCCAUAUUCAUUGCAAAUUACUAAUAUUUUGUUUUUUGGUUUCUGGUCCAGUUUUAAAAAACCAAACGUGCAAUUAUUUUUAUCUUGUUUUGUUGAUUUUUUACUAACCUAUCCACUACUGGUAUACUCUUAUCUAAUAAUGUUCGUGUUUUUUUUCAUGUAUCUAUUUUUUUGUGUGAUACAAUUGCAGGAGCUAUGGUUUUUUGUUGUAGGUAGUUUAAUGAUUAUAAUGGUUGCCAUUGGUGUUCUUCUCAAGGGGUAAGAGUUAAAAAAAGAAGACACUGUACUGUUGUAAAUAAUCUUUUAUCUGCAAUCAGUGUGCCAAGCAAUAUAAGACAGACUCGAUGAUCAUUAAGUUGUAUAAAGCAUUGGAAAGG